AUCUCUAGGAAGAGCUGAUCAGCCAGGCCCCGGCUUCUCACACCCUCUUCCGCGGUCCCCCACUGUGCCGCCUGCACCCUCUUCCUCUGAUGGUCCUUAUUGCCUUGUGCCUCAGUCAGCACGGGCUGCCAUAACAAAACACCACAGACUGGGUGGCUUAAAGAACAGGAAUUUAUCUUCUCACAGUUCGGGAGGCCAUAAAGUCCAAGAUCAAGGUCCGCAGGGUUCAAUGGGGUGAUUGUUGGCUAAGAGAAUAGUGUGUCCUAAAAACCCAGUCCCGCCGCCAGCCCUCCUUAGCCACUUUAUCAGCCCUCCGCUUCUGUUGCUGAGGUAGACGGAGCAGAAGCUGGGGUAUAGGAAGAAAGAUAAGCACUGGAAAGAUGGCUUCCCCCUCUUGUACUCAGAAGAACUGAAAGAGUUUUCCAAAUUAAAAUGUUUACAGAUCUAGAGCCUUUAAUCUUUAGGGAGAAGCCUGAGUGACUGUCUCUAGCUCUUUUCUUAGGGAAUUCAUCUUGGCCUGUAAUUUUUUCCUGUUCAGUAGGAUAGCCAUGGGUUUCUAUAUUCCCAUUUCUAGGAUAUAUUUUUCAUGAAUAGGGAUAGUCUCGUAUUUUGAGCUUAAUAUUUUUCUUUUGUUAGGAAGAAUGAUCGGUAUCACUCUAGUCUCUUAGUUUGUGAUUUGUGGUUUGAAAUCCCAGCUGGAAAGAAGUGAUUGACUAGUAAGGCCUGCUUUGUGUGAGGUUUAGAGGCAUGGCCACGGAUAACAGCAUCAGCUUAUGAAGAAUGUGGAUUAUUUUUAAUUUAGUAUUUAUAUUAUAAAAGCAACAAAACAGCAAACAAAAGUAGUAGGGGAUAAAUUAUCAAAAAUCUCGUUACUUCAUCGUAACAAUUAUUGUCUUGAUAGAGUCCUUUUCAUCUUAAUAGUUCUAUUUGUAGUUAAUCAUAGUGCAUGUAUGUUAUGUCCUUUUAUUUGAAACAUUCAAGUGUUUUUUCAUGUUUCUACAAAGUCCUUGGAAUUAUUAAAAAUAAUAAUUGAUCAGAUUAUCCUGCCAGGUGAGUAGAACACAAUGCAUAUUACUAUCUUUGUUGAACAUUUAUGUGGUGUUCAGUUUUUCAACAUUAUCAUUAUAAAUAACGCUGCAGCAGAACUUCUUGCUCAUUAUUUUGAAUUAUUUCUUAGGAUUAGGGAUGUUAAGUUUGAGUACUAGAUCAAAAAUUAGGAACAUUUUUAUGGCUUUGCAUAGAUAGUAGGGCCAAAUGGCUUCCAAAGGCCAGACAAUACCAGUCUCUAUUGCCCCACCCAUUCCACCUCGCCUUGCCAGCAGGGGAUAGUUUCAUUUUAAAAUUACCUGGUAACUUUUGGUUUACGUUUCUUUUCAUACAAGCAACAUUGAAUUUAUCUUUUGUAUAUGAUUCAUUGUUUGAAAAACAUCUGUGGUGUCCUUUGCCCAUUUAUCUUAUGAGAUCGCAAUGUUGUCCUUAUCAAGUUGUGUGAAAUACAUGUGUGAACUGGUUUCCAAAUAA
rnacentral:lncRNA from 1 species